rnacentral:piRNA from 1 species
UAUGAUUUCUUCAUGCUUAUACCCCAUGUC